UAAUCACUUGUCUUUUAAAUGAAGACCUGUAUGAAUGGCAUAACGAGGGUUUAACUGUCUCCUCUUCCCAGUCAAUGAAAUUGAUCUGCCCGUGCAGAAGCGGACAUAUAAACAUAAGACGAGAAGACCCUAUGGAGCUUUAGGUCAAAGAUCAAACAUGUUAAAAGACCAUAAAAUCUAAAAGAACUAAAAAGGCCACACAAACCAAAUGUAAAAUGAUCUAAGUACCUUCGGUUGGGGCGACCACGGGGAAAAAAGAAACCCCCACAUGGAAUGGAAACAUAUCCCUAAACUAAGAAAAACACCUCCAAGUAACAGAACAUCUGACCAAAAAUGACCCAGGACUAAACCACCUGAUCAAUGAACCAAGUUACCCUAGGGAUAACAGCGCAAUCCUUUCCCAGAGCCCA
rnacentral:rRNA from 1 species